AACCGAAACACGAAAACAAGGUGUGUGUAUUGUGAUUUAACUAAGGAAGAUGUGAACUAUAAUGCAAUUAUGAGUGAGAAACUUAUACUAAAUGCAAAAUGACCUGGAUGCAAUCUACGAGAAUUUAUGGAAUUAAUGAAAUACUAACGCACUAGGAUCACGAAUUCCCAAGCAACACCUGUUCAACUUUUAAUUAUGCAAAUUUGACACACACUCCCACAAUUGAUGAAUCAAUAUUCCUAUUUUAAUUUAGUAAUCUCUCUCGAGCAAUACCAAACCUACCCCAAUAUGUGAUUCGACUAUCUCUAUGACGAAUACUAACAUACAAGAACGCAUGUAAUUUCAUGAAUAUUCAACGAUUCACACGAGGUAUAGAGGUAUAUAUCUAUCUCCUAUCGGACCCUAUGAUGAUUUAUACCAUGUCAAGCCUAUUUUCCUUCUCUCGAAUGCAUAAAACAGGCCACCAAAAUCAUAUAAUUACGUGUACAAUUAUAAUAUGGGAAUAAAAAUGUAUAAAUCAUUCAAUUUCGAAACAUGUGCUUAAAUAUGUCAAAUCUCCAAAUCAAAAAUCAAAACUUGUAUUGCAAGGUUUAUCGAUCUCCUGGUACGUGAAAAAUCUAGCCUAACAUGCGAAAAAGAAAAAAAUACAAAAAUAGUUGAAGAAACGUCAUCACCCGAAUCAAGUUUCAAUCAAUUCUUCAAUUGGCACGAUGUUUUCCUCUUGUUCUCUUUUCGUUUUCUCCUUCAAAAUCUCUCUUUUUCUUCUAAAAUUGGCGUCCUUUUUGUUCUGGUCAAGUUUUCAUUUAUAUAGGACCCCCAAAAAUUUUAUUUCCAUAAGAGUUUCGGUGAAAUAAGGAAACUGCAGAAUCGGCCCCCGAAUUGUUCUAUGCGACCGCAUAGUACAUUUCUAUGCGGUCGCAAAGAGUAAAAAUUUUUGAGAAUUUAUUCUCGGGUGGCCUCUAUGCGACCGCAUAGAGGGGUCGCAUAGUGCUACCAACUAUGCAAAAAGUCCAUUUUGGUCUUUGAACUUUCAUUCUUUUUCAUUUUAGUCCCUUUACAAUUCCUUCUUCUUCUUCCAAGCAUCUUGUAUCGCUUUCGAGUUCAUACUAAGCAUAUUUGCAUUCCCGGGUUGCCUUUUGGUUCAACUUUGAAUAUUUACAUCCUUAUUCCCUGAACUAUCACUUUGCUCCAUUUUAGUUCUUUUUCGACUCUUUUCUCCUGAAUUCCACCAUUUCCAUAGAAACACCUACAUUGCAUGAAUUCAACGAGAUUAAGUCACAAUUUAAACAUUUUGCUCGUAAUUAAGUCAUGUUUGUGAUCUAAAUAAGUGUGCAAAAACACACUUAUCAAACCCCCCAAAGUUGAACUAUUGUUUGUCUUCAAACAAGAUAGUGAUUUAAUUCUGAACAAACAUGGCUUAAUACCCUGCCGUGGCUCAGGAUUGGACUAAGUAUUUGACUUAUGAAAAUUUAUCAGUACAAAAAUGACAUCAACUUUUACCUAUUAAUUGCAUGCUUGACGUGUGUGUGUAAAUUCAUGCCAACAUAUCAAAUUCAUGAUGGGUUGAGUCUAGACCCCAAGUGGUCAAAUGUAUCGUUACUCGCUCGAGAGAUACACAACCCUCAAAACUUAUUCUUUUCACUCAAUUAUCCCAGGGCCGUGUUUUAAGAUUAGGAAUUUACAUAGCUGUAGUCCUCACCCUCUCGUAGUUUGGAUUGAUCUCACGAUCACAAAUUUACAUUUCAACAAGUGAAGGCUCUCCCAAGUUUGAUUGUUUCGACACUCAAGAUUAAAAUAGGUUACUUGCCUCGCCUCAAAGGUAUAGUUUCCUCAACCAAAUGUCUAAGGGUUUUUCUUCAUAUUAUUGUCUCACUUUUGUUUUCUCGCUUUCCAUUUUUUUAAUCAUCAUCUCAUUUGCUUUCUAUACAACCAAUGUAAUGAGCUUUAGGCCGGUGACUCCCAAACCAGUUGGCUUUAGGGUACCAAGUUUUAAACCCUUGCAUGCUUAUUCAUUCGAGUUAUAAAGGCUCGAUCAGAUGACUUUUUAUUAACCUCUUUCCCUCUUGCUUUCUAUAUGACCCCUUUAGCAAGCUUUAGGCCGGUGACUCCCAAACCAGUUGGCUUUAGGGUACCAGGUUUUAUACCCUUGUAGGCUUACUUGCUCGAAUCAUAAAGGCAUGAAAAGAAGUGUCUUAUUUUCACAAAUUAAUUUUACGCCCUUAUUGUUCUAGACAUUUAGUUUCCAAAAUCAACCCCCAAUUUAAGAUUUUCGCCUAAUCUUCACCUCACUGGUCUAGGCAAUCCACACAAUAAAAUUUCAUGCACGAAGCCCCCGCUUAUUUCAAUGCUCUCUAUAAUAGCUCAACCAAUUUCAAACUGUCUUAAGGUGAUUUACAUGUUAAUUCAAUAGAGAGUUAUUAUUCUUUUUCUAGUUUAUGCUCAAAAUCCAGCCAUUCACCUAACAUGUCAAGCAUGAACAGCGUGCAUAGAUAAUGUCAAGUAUUGCAUCACAAGUAUUGGUUAAUCUAUUCAUCACUAUAUUCAAAGUUUAUGAAUUAUACCAAUCCAAUAAUCACAUGAUAGUCGGCAAGGCUAUCAAGCCCAACAAGCAUGCCAAAGUAUAAUUAACACUCACUCAUCAAGCAUGCAUCAUGCAACAAUUAGUCAACAAUAACGAUGGACUGUGAAAAUGAAAAAUAAUUACAUGCCGACUAUUUGUUUUAAAUUAUGCCAUCAUCCCCCAAACUUAUACAGUACAUUAUCCUCAAUGUAAGAAUUAAAGUUGAAAUGGCAUAAUUUAAAAAGAAAAACAAGAACACAAAAUAGCAAAAUGGGGUAAUCAAGACUCCCCUGAUCAAUAUAGUGGCUGUGAUGGAAGGCUGGAUCCUGCAGCAUCAUCUCCAGGAGGGGGAGGAAGGCGGGAUAAAAUCUCUCUCAAUAUGUCAGACUGCUGGGUCUACUCCACCUGCAUGGCCUGAACCCUGGUCUCCAAGCUCCCUAAACGGUCCCAUGUCUCAUUCACUCGCCAUUGUAUACCAUCCAUCCUGCCAACGUACAUUCACAAUCGCCCAUCAAAGGUAUUAUCUCUCUUCUCACUGCAAGGGACUCACUGCUGGCAUUGGAUGUGAAGUUUCUUGUGAUUGCCAUAUCAUUCUGUACCUGCUGGAUGGUGGUACUCAUUGCUCCAAAUGAUUGCUGGAGACUCUGCAUGUCUCGACUGUGUCCUGUCAUAGUGGCAAACAUCUGCCUCAAUAACUAGGUAUCAAUGUCAACUGAUGGUGGAGGAGCUCGUGGCAUCUCGAAGUUCUCAGCUGCGUGUCCUUCCUCAGCCUGUUGCUGUCGACGUCAUUCGUUUUCUAACUUUUGUUGAUGUUUAACUCUGGCUCGGUCCUGGGCCUCUAGUGUAAGGCGCUUGAUAUAUAGACUUGGUUUUUCUGGUGUUUUCCUAGGUUGGACUUGUAUGCCUGUAGCUUUACAUAUCCCACUUAUCAAACUUGAGAAAAUCAGCAAAGUAUGCCUGUCUCCCCAUGUGCCUAUAAUCUAUAUCUGGUUGUAGAUAUAUGUGGCCAAGUCAAUCUUGUUCCCCCGAACCAAAUGAUAGAUAAACCUCGCCUUUUGAUUUGUGAAUAUCGUCCUAUGGGAUAUGGGCUCGAUGUUGUGGCAUAUGAAUAACCAUAGGAUAGCUAUAGAUGGGGUGAGAUCAAUCUGAUACCAAUCUGCAGUAGGUAGAGGCCAUGCAUUCUCACGUCCUAAUAAUACUUCUGCAACCUCAAUCCAGUUGAAAUUAUGUGGGACUGGGAUCACAUUAUUUCAGGUUAGCUGAUAGUAGCCAUGAAUCACUUUGGGUGAAAACAUAAUCCAUUUACCUCGAACCCAUGUUUGAUGUAGAUGAUCUGAUCCAGGCGUGUCGAUUUUUGUAUUGAAGUUGGCAUAGAACUCCUUCACCAGAUUUUCAUACACCGGAUGCGGUCUUUCAAUUACUUUCUCCCAACCAUAGUUGUGGAUUAAAUAAACUAAUUCAAAAUCGGGAAAAUCUUCCAACUUAACUGGCCUUUCGGGGACGAGUGCCCAAUUGCGGACAACAUUGGCGUAACGGGCUGCUGUGUCUGAAGAUAGAAAUCGCCUGACACCCCCUUCGGACUCUCUAGUCCGGGCUGUGCCAGAUGCGGAACCAACCUUCUCUUUUCCUUUUGAUGUUCUUUUUGGAGGCAUCCUGCAAAUGUGCAAAAAUAACAUUCAUUAAACUUCUUGUUGAGAAACGAGAGAUGGAAUGAGAUUAGCAAGACAUAUAUUUCACAAAUCCCCCAAACUUACGUCAACAUGCAUAUAUAACACAUUGGUGUGCAAUCUUCAAAACAUGAUAUUCAAGAUAGUGUAAAUAGUCUGCCAAUAUGAAAAACUAAGAAAACUAGGCCUAAACAUGCACAUUUGAAAAAUUGGACCCAUGACCAAGUACGCAUGUUCUGCCCCGGAUAUCAUCAAAAAAUAUCGAAAUUUUCCCGAGCAAUCUUCGGGCAUAUGAAAGUAUUUAAUGAGGUCUACCAUAUACUCAAAUUUCAAAUCAAUUGGACUUCGUUUCGUGUGUCAAAUUAUGGUGUAAAAUAGGGGACGGAGGGUGCCGUGACUUGGCUAUGUAGUGCCUACGUCAUGCAAGAUGGGAUUUUAUGUUUUUCACGGCCUUUCAAGUGAUCUGUCUUUAUCCAAUCGUUAUACACAUCAAUUGUACAACAUAACCAAAGCCAAAAUUUCAAAAUUGCAUAAAGCUCGAUACUUAGGGAUUUCAUCAAAUAUGUAACAUGCAUUCCUUGUAAACCCUACAAAAUACCAAAAAUUUAAUGUUCCACCAAUCCAUAACACAACCCAAGUGCAAAAUACACAAUCCAUUGACUACCUAUUGCCCAUUCUCCGCAAUCAUGCUCAUAAAAUUCUCGGUUCAUCUCGAAUCGAACUAAAAAAAUCAUAGAAGAAAAGGAAUGGGAGAAUGUACCUUGAAUUCGCAAUGAACAUGUGGAGUAUUGAUUUAGGGUGCCAAUGGAAUGAAGAAUGAGUGUGAGUCAUGUGUUUGUGUGUCUUACCGUGUGUGUUGGUGUGAAGGUGCGAGAGAGGGGCGAAAAGGAGGGAAAUUGAUUGAGAGUGACUCGAUCAUGGCUUAAAUCCAUGACCGAGUCACUACUAUGUGGCCGCAUAGUAGUAUCCUAUGCGGUCACAUAGUGAUAGAAAUAGCCCAAAUUUUUGUUUCGGUUGAUGUCUAUGCGACCGCGUAGACAUUAUGUCAAUGCGAUCACAUAGACAAUUUUUUUUUUUAAAAUCUGAAUUAUGGGAAAAAAAACAAUAUCAAAAUUACAAUUUUAAACCCCAAAACACAACUUAAUUAAAAUUUUCCCCCGAAAUUGGUUUUCAAUUAUAAAUUUGACUCGGCUAAUAUUAUUCUCGAAAAAUUUAGAAACUUCCAAUUCAAUGGGAUAUGUGCUUGCCGAAAGACUUAGCACCAAGAUCAAUUUAUGGAAUAAACUUCAAACGCAUUUUGAAAAUUUUUAUGAAGAAUGACUUUGUGCAUCGAAAUGCAUGAUUUCACACUCAAUCCCUCAAAACAACUUCAAUCAACUUGACUCAUGCCAUCUUAAAUGUGUAAUGCUUAGACUAGUAUGCGUGAAAGAUCGAUGACCUAACAAAAAAAUGCAAAUGCGAAAAUUAAACGACUCCUAAAAUAAUGUGAAAAGUAAAAUAAAUCAAAGGAUACAGUGGGUUGCCUCCCACGCAGCGCUAGGUUAUAGUCGAUAGUUCGACUUUAUCGUAUUGCGUCAUUCUGGUGGUCUAAGAUGAACGAUAGACUUUUCCUAUGAGAAAUCGCCGCUCCAAUAGUGCUUCAAACACUGUCCAUUGACCUUAAAUGUUUCCUUACUGUCAUAAGUGAUUUCAACUGCUCCAUGCAGAAAUAGUUGUGUAAUAGUAUAGGGGCCAAACCAUCUCGAUCGCAGCUUUCCUGGAAACAGCAUAAGCUCAGAGUUGUAGAGUAACACUUUUUGCCCCACUUUAAAUUCACGCCUCUGAAUAUGCAUAUCAUGCCACUUCUUGGUGCGUUCUUUGUAUAGUCUUGAAUUUUCGUAGGCCUCCAUUUUGAGCUCAUCCAGCUCAUUAAGUUGUAAUAAACGUUUUUCACCCACAACCUUCAAGUCCAAAUUCAAUUUCUUCAUUACCCAAUAAGUAUGGUGUUCUAUCUCAAGAGGUAAGUGGCAUGCCUUCCUAAAAACUAGUUGAUAUGGUGACAUCCCCAUAGGAGUCUUGAAUGCAGUCCUAUAGGCCCACAAGGCGUCUUCCAGCUUCUUUGACCAAUCUUUUCGUGAAGAGCUUACUGUGACUUCAAGUGUUCGCUUUAAUUGUUUAUUGGACACUUCAACCUGUUCGCUGGUUUGAGGGUGAUAUGCAGUGGCUAGACGAUGUUUAACGCCGUAUUUAGUCAACAACCGUUCAAAUUGGCGAUUGCAGAAAUGUUUGCCUCUGUCACUGAUUAUAGCUCUCGGUGUGCUAAAGCAGGUGAAAAUAUUUUUUUUUAGAAAAUCUAUCACCACCUUUCCAUCGUUGGUAUGCAAUGCAACGGCUUCUAACCACUUCGAUACGUAAUCCAUAGCCACCAAUAUAUACUGAUUAGAGAAUGAUGGGGAAAAUGGCCCCAUGAAGUCAAUCUCCUAGACGUCAAAUAGUUCCACAUCUAGGAUACUGUUCAAAGGCAUUUCAUUUCUCCUGGAUAUAUUACCGGUGCGUUGACAUCGGUCACACCUUUUUACGAAUUCAAAGGCAUCCUUAAACAAUGUAGGCCAGUAAAAACCUGACUAAAGAUCUUCGUCUCUAUUUUUGAAGCACCAAAAUGCCCUGUGUAUGUAGAUAAAUGACAAUGUUCUAGUAUUAAUGGCACUUCUUCCUCAAGUACGCAACGACGAACGAUUUGAUCAGAUCCUCGCCUGUAUAGAAUGGGAUCCUCCCAAAAAUAAUACUUCAACUCAGCGAAAAAUUUCCUCUUCUGGUGAUUUGAGUAAUCUGGCGGAAUGAUAGACCUGGCUAAGUAGUUAACUAUGUCAGCAUACCAGGAUGCUCCCCCACAUCGAAAAUCUGUUCAUCUGGGAAGACUUCAUUGAUUUCCACGGUCUUUGUCUGCUCUGUAGUCUCAAGUUGAGACAAGUGGUCUGCUACCACGUUUUCACUGCCCUUCUUAUCCCUAAUUUCCAAACCAAACUCUUGAAGCAGCAGUAUCCAACAAAUGAGACGUGGCUUGGCAUCCUCCUUUUCCAUUAAGUACUUGAUGGCUGCAUGAUCUAUGUAAACGAUGACCUUUGACCCCACAAGAUAUGAUCGAAAUUUGUAAAAGGCAUAGACUAUGACAAGGAGCUCUUUCUCUGUAGUGGCAUAGUUUAAUUGAGCAUCGUUCAAAGUCUUACUUGCAUAGUAGGUUUCGUGAAAUAUCUUAUUUCUCCGUUGUCCCAAUACGGCCCCAACAGUAAAAUCACGGUGUGAUGAUCACGGGUGCUAAAAUCAACUUCUCUUUCAAGGUAUUAAAAUCCAUCAAACACUCAUUUGUGAACUCAAAUGUGGAUUCCUUCAUCAACAAACGGCACAGUAGUUUAGUAAUUUUUGAGAAAUCCUUUACGAACCUUCUGUAGAACCCGACAUGUCCAAGGAAGCUACGAACACCUUUCACUGAUGUUGGUGGCGAUAAUUUCUCGAUCACCUAAAUCUUUGCUCUGUCCACCUCAAUACCCUUUGCUGAUAUUCUGUGUCCUAACACGAUGCCUUCCUGUACCAUAAAGUGACAUUUCUCCCAAUUUAAUACCAAGUUGGUCUCUAUACACCGCUGUAACAUAAGACUCAGAUGCUCCAAACACUCAUCAAACGAAGACCCAAACACUGAGAAGUCAUCCAUGAGUACCUCGAUGAAUUUCUCAAUCAUAUCAGAAAAGAUAGCCAUCAUGCAACGUUGAAAGGUGGCGGGGGCGUUGCACAAACCAAAGGGCAUCCUACGGUAUGCAAAGGUACCGUAGUGGCAUGUGAAAGUUGUCUUCUCCUAGUUGUCAGGUGCUACUGGAAUUUGAUUAUACCCAGAGUACCCAUCCAAAAAACAGUAAUGUGAGUGCCCUACUAGUCUCUCCAACAUCUGAUCAAUGAAUGAUAGUGGAAAAUGAUCCUUUCGAGUAGCAGCAUUUAGUUUGCGGUAAUCGAUGCAAACUCUCCAUCCAGUGACUAUUCUUGUAGGAAUCAACUCAUUUUUCUCGUUCUGCACCACUGUGAUAUCUCCCUUCUUUGGAACAACUUGCACUGGACUGAUCCAUGUAUUAUCUGAUAUUGGGUAGAUGAUGCCUGCAUCGAGCAACUUCAAUACCUCAGCCCUAACCACUUCCUUCAUGUUUGGAUUCAAUCUCCGCUGACCAUUAAUGCUUGGCUUGAAAUUUUCUUCCAUAAGUAUUUUGUGCAUGCAUAGCGACGGUCUGAUCCCUUUGAUAUCUGUAAUUGACCAUCCAAUGGCUAUUUUAUUCUCCCUCAGCACCCGAAGUAGUCUCUCUUCCUCCACUUCACUGACAGUGUUUCAAAUAAUAACCAGGAGUGUAUAAAACUCCCCUAAGUAAGCAUAUCGAAGGUGUGGUGGCAAUUGUUUGAAUUCCAACUUGGGAGGUUGCUAAAUAGAUGGCACUGACUUUGUAGUCCUAGUUCCUAGUUCUUCGAAGUGACGCUUGUACAUGUAUGGUGGAUUAGUUUCCAAAAAUCGUGCACAUGUUUCAAUCUCACUUGAAUCAAUUUGAGUGGAUUGAGAAUGUGCAAUGCAUGCCUCGUAUGCAUUGGAAGGAUGAUGUAGCCGAAAUGUAUUUUAAAUUAUUCUGUCAAUUACCUCGGUCUGGAAGUAGUUGUCUGACUAGUGGGAAAUUUCAUUGCCCUGAACACGUUGAAAGAGAUCUGUUCUUCGCCAAGCCUCAAUAUAAGCUGCCCUUUCUGAACAUCGACAAUCGCUCUUCUAGUAGCUAAGAAAGGUCGCCCCAAUAUGAGUGGAACAUCCUUAUCUUCCUCCAUGUCUAAAAUGAAAAAAUCUACUAGGAAUAUAAACUUUUCUACUUUUACCAACACGUCUUCAAUGAUCCCUCUUGGAUGUGUAAGGGAUCGAUCUGCUAACUGUAAGGUCACUGUUGUAGCCUUAGCUUCUACCAAGCCGAGUUUCCUAAAAAUAGAGAGAGGCAUCAAAUUAUUACUUGCACCUAAAUCACACAAAGCUUUAUCAAAAUGACAAUUUUCAAUAGUGCAAGGUACAAUAAAACUCCCUGGAUCCUUUAGUUUUGGAGGUAGCUUUUUCUGGAUUCUGGCACUACAUUCCUCAAUUGGCAUCACUGUUUCAUUUUCUUCUAUCUUUCGCUUGUUAGAGAGGAUAUCCUUUAGAAAUUUUGCAUAACUCGGCAUCUGAACAAGUGCCUCAGCAAAUGGGAUGUUGAUGUGUAGUUUCUUGAAGACUUCAAGAAAUUUGCUAUAUUGCUAAUCCAAUUUGUGCUUUUUCAACCUCUGUGGAAAUGGAAUAUGUGGUUCAUGAGGGUUGAUAGAAUUGGUAGCAAUAACUCGUGAUGUAUUGGAACUCUUCUUGGCAACAUUCUCUGUUGUUUGUUCCACAAUCUCGUCAUCUGAGGUAGGCGCUGAUUCCUUGCUAGUUAUCAGUCUUUUUACAUGUAUCUCCAAUAGUUGUACUCCACUUUUGGUUGUUAUAGCUUUUACGUACUCCUUAGGAUUGAUUUCAGUGUUGCCGGGUAUGUUUCCUGGUGCUCUACCUGUCAUGGAGAUUGCCAUCUGUCCCAUUUGUGUCUCCAAAUUUUUUAUUGCAACACUUUGAUCUUGGAGAGUUGCAUCUGUCUUUUGCAUAAACUAGUUGUUAGCCUCCAUGUACUGAUUAGUCGUUGCCACGAACUUCUCAAACAUUUCUUCUAAUGGUGGCUUUUUAUCCUGCUGCUGAAAUUGACCUUAUGGUCUGUUUUGAUUCUGGUUACUCCGUGAGAAGUUUGGGUGUUUUCUCUAGCCCUGAUUGAAGGUUUCUGAAUGUGGAUUGUUUUGUUGGCGUUGACCCCAUUGCACAAAAUCUGCAUGUUCGAUCCCCUGUGUGAAGAUUGGACAGUUGACAGUAUUGUGGUUUGCUCCACAUUCUUCACAGCUUGGCUUCUUGACUUGUUUUGCAUUGACGGUCUGUGAAAUGCUCUCAACCUUAUGGAACAAGGAGUCUAUCUUUGCAGAUAAUGCUGAGUAAGUAUCUACUUCAUAAACCCCCGGCGUUCUCUUCUGAACCACUCGAUCUGUAGACCAUAUGGCUGAAGUUGUAGCCAUUCUCUCAAACAGUUCUCAUGCUCCGUCAAUUGUUCCCGCGGAGAUUGACCCGUCGGAUGAUGAAUCCACCAUACUCUUGAAGGAUAGAAGUAAUCUAAUGUAGAAAAAUCGGAUUUGUGUCUUUUUAUCAAAGCCAUGCUGAGGACACUUCCUUAAUAUAUUUUUGAAGUGAUUCCAGGCCUCUUCAAAUGAUUCGGACUCACCUUGGUUGAAUAUAAAUAUAUCAUGCCGCAUUUUUGCUACCUUAGCUGGCGAGAAGAGCUUGGUGUAGAAUUUGUGGGCUAGCUCGUUCCAAGUGGUGAUACUUGCGACGGGAAGUGAAUCCAGCAAUUCAAGUGCUUUAUCCCGCAAUGUGGGUAGAAACAAUCGCAGUGUUAUAGCAUCGUCUGAGAUACCCUGAUAUCUAAAGUGUUGGCACAUGUCUAGAAAUCGGGAUAUGUGUGUAUGUGGAUUCUCAUUAGCCAUCCCGUGGAAUUGAUGCCCAUUUUAAAAUAGUUGAAUCAUUUGUUUUUAGCUAGAAGUUCGGUUGCCCAAAUGGAGGAUGCACAAUGCUAGAUUGACUCUGGACCACCAACGGUGCAUGAAGUCCCCAAGUACCAUAUUCCCUUCAUCUUCAACCCUCACGCCUUCGUUGAGUUGAAUUACCGGAUGAUUUUGCUCAUUAGUCAUCUGUUGUUGCUGUUUCUGGUCUUUUUGAAUUUAUUGUGCUGCUCUUGCUUCUCUUUGCCUAUGACAAAAUGUGCGUUCGAUCUCUGGAUCAAUGGGAACCAAAUCUCGAUCAGGUGCUCUUUGCAUACAAGCCCUGAGAUAGUAAAAAUAACACAAAAAUAAAUUAAAGUAAACAAUAAACUAAGUCUAGUAAGCUAACUACUACUAAUCUAGGUAAGUUCGAAUUAGUGUCACAAUAGAUAAAAUUAAACUAAAUUUCAAUCCCCGGCAACGGCGCUAAAAACUUGUUCAUGAUUUUAUUUCUUUCGAUUUAACACCCACUGCAAGUGUACGGUUCGUUAACAAAUAGUAGAAUGGAUUAUGAGUCCAAGUAUCGAUCCCACAAAGAUUGAAUUACUUCAAAUCAAUCUAUUAUGACCUUAACUGAAAUACGAAAACAAGAUGUAUGUAUUGUGAUUCAACUGAGGAAGAUGUGAACUAUGAUACAAUUAUGAUUGAGAAACUUAUACUAAAUGCAAAAUGACCUGGAUGCAAUCUACGAGAAUUUAUGGAAUUAAUGAAAUACUAACACACUAGGAUCACGAAUUCCCAAGCAAAACCCGUUCAACUUUUAAUUAUGCAAAUUUGACACACACUCCCACAAUUGAUGAAUCAAUAUUCCUAUUUUAAUUUAGCAAUCUCUCUCGAGCAAUACCAAACCUACCCCAAUAUGUUAUUCGACUAUAUCUCUAUGACGAAUACUAACAUACAGGAACGCAUGUAAUUUCAUGAAUAUUCAAC
rnacentral:lncRNA from 1 species